UACGUAGGGUGCAAGCGUUGUCCGGAAUUAUUGGGCGUAAAGAGCUCGUAGGCGGUCUGUCACGUCGGCUGUGAAAACCCGAGGCUCAACCUCGGGCCUGUAGUCGAUACGGGCAAACUAGAGUACUGCAGGGGAGACUGGAAUUCCUGGUGUAGCGGUGAAAUGCGCAGAUAUCAGGAGGAACACCGGUGGCGAAGGCGGGUCUCUGGGCAGUAACUGACGCUGAGGAGCGAAAGCGUGGGGAGCGAACAGG
rnacentral:rRNA from 1 species